UUGUGUAUGUAUGUUGUUACAGGGUGGUUAACUUCGCCAGCGGCCCCCUUUCCCGGGGCAGUCCCUGCUCUCCCCUGCUAGAGGGGCACCCUAAUCCGUCACCCCAUCCGACUUCAGAAUGUAUUCGUUGGGUUCGGCAACUCACCACCAGCAUCCAACCAAAUCUAGCGGAUCAACGGCGCAUCAACUUAGUUCCUGGUCAGCUCGCAAGUUGAUAUUAUCACGUCCUACACCGUCCAUAAGAUGGGGGGCCACCUCCCAUUUCAUCACUCCUCAAACACCCGAGGAGCCGGCAGGCGGAUUUGAACCCGGGUCGACUGGGUCGACCGGGAGCAGAAGUCAGGCCUUAACCUCUGCCAGCCGCCUGUCUAUAUAUUGUGUAUGUAUGUAUCUGUGUGCACGGAUUGGGAGGGAGAGGGACGGGACGCACCCAACUACCCCAACAAACAAAGCCAGCCUGCAGCCUUGGGUGAAGCCUGGGUGCCUGGGUGUCAGGCGCGGAUCGUGCAUUCUGCAUUGUCGGAGUAAGCAGCAGUAUUAGGCAGUUUUGGGCCUUACAUGUGUCGGGAGGGGGGAGAGGGCGGGCGCGGUGAAUACGGAUAUGGGGGUAUGUGUCGUGUGGUGGGCUGUUUACCUGAGGCAUGUGGUCAUCCGUCUGUGGUGUGCCGCGUAUGUGUACCUUUUCUUCUUUGCGUUGGGGGGUUUGGCUCUUGCUCGCUCUCUUUUUGGGAUUCUUGCCAUGUAUGUAUAUCUGUACGUGCUGUGUCCCGGGUCUCCUCUUGUCGUACGUUUUGUCCCCACUCCACCACCAGGUCACGGGAUAAUCGUCCGAGAGAUGUGUUGUACAAAUGUCGUACCUUUGAGAGUUUCUGAUUUAGGAAGGGUAAAUUUGAAGAAAAAGGUAACCAAAAUGGAAAGGAUGCAACAAUUACCUUGAUAAUAGACAAUGGUGAAGGUCGCAUAAUAACAAGUUUUCAGUGUGUGGCACAUAGCAUAGGCAGUCCAAGCGGAUGCGAAAGCAGAGAUACGUUUCACGACUUGACCAUCGAAACACACGCCGCACACACUUUCAGACGCAGACACUCUUUUCUUCUGCAUCGCAGCUGCCAGGCCUGGCUAGCAUCAGGGCAAACCAGUCCCACCAAUGCCCCUGGGACGUCUUAGGAAUGGAGUUGAGCCGCCGUUGAUCCGGCAGAUUCCGUUGGAUGCUGGUGGUGGGUGCGGAACCUGAGCGAUCCACUGAGAAGUUGGCUAGGGUGGAGGUGCCCCGAUAUACCGGGGAAGGCAGGGUUUCGCAGGGUAGCUGCCACGGGUAAAGAUAUGCCCCCCUGUUUCACACCUCUCUUCCCCCACAACAUGCAUUCUCACAAACACCAACGAACUAUCUCCUCCCAAUUCCCAAUAAGCUCAUAACACCCUGCCACCCUGCCCCGCACCACUUCAUCCCACGUGACCCCUCCUGCCUCGUACCCCCCCCUCCCUCCUCUCCCUCCCCAGCCCUCUGCUACGUAAAACAAAGAAAGGAAGCAUACGACCGUCCGUCACAGUGGUCAUCCACUCAGGCUCCCUUGCCAGCUGGGUAUCAAAGUAUCACACAUAACAAGGCAGGCGGCUGGCAGAGGUUAAGGCCUGGCUUCUGCUCCCGUCCCGUCGCGUCCCGGCGCGUCCGGGUUCAAAUCCGCCUGCCAACCUCUCGGGGUGUUUGAGAGGUGAUGAAAUGAGAGGUGGCCCCCCAUCUUGUGGACUGUGUAGGACGUGAUAAUAUCAACUUGCGAGCUGACCAGGAACUAAGUUGAUGCGCCGUUGAUCCGCUAGAUUUGGUUGGAUGCUGGUGGUGAGUUGCCGAACCCAACGAAUACAUUCUGAAGUCGGAUGGGGUGAAUGGCUUAGGGUGCCCCUCUAGCAGGGGAGAGCAGGGCAUUGCCUCGGGUAGGAGGCCACUGGUGAAGCUUAACCACCCUGUAACAACAUCAACAAACAUCACACUUGGUAACUUGGUGACAACAUAUCACACCGCCGACCUCAAAAUCAUAAACUUGAAGUGUUUCAAGUACAAUAUACAUUACGUCAACAUUCCCAACAUGUAAAGUCGAUCACGUCCCGAUGCUAGGGCUGUGAAAGGAGCCCCCAGACAUACAUACAUACAUGUUAGGGUUUGGCACUACUGGUAAGGCGCGACCAUUGCCCCCGGGAGAUCCCGGGAUCGAUACCCAUUAGGGUCAGAAGUCCUUCCGAUGGUGGAAGGCAUUGCGCCCCUAGUAGAUGGACGGUGGUGACCUGGGAUAAAGUUAACCCGCGAGCCGACCAGGAACGGAGCUGGGCCGCUGUCGACCCGGCAAAUUCCGUUGGAUGCUGGUGGUGGGUGCGGAACCUGAGCGAUCCACUGAGAAGUUGACUAGGGUGACUGGAUGAGGGUGCCCCGAAAUACCCGCUGGGAAGGCAGGGUUUCGCAGGGUAGCUGCCACGGGCGAAGAUACACCCCCCUGUUUCACACAUCAUACCUACAUACAUGCAUGCGCAUACACUCCAAUACUACACACGCGCACUCACCCCUCACCCCUUCGCCAACUGUAGCAAAACCCGCAAGGCACCUUUGGCGCUAUCUGGACAUUAAAUAACGCGUCAAAAAUUCAAAAAUAAGAUUCGUAUUUGGAAAGCAGCUACGGAGCCAACCAACGUAGCUGGAAAGGUCGUCCAAGGGCCGCUAGGUGCCGCUGGUGGUGGUGAUGAAGUCCAAGUACAUUCUUGCGGCCAGUGCUGCCCGCUGAUCUGGCAAUGACGGUGCCGUACAGUUGGCGUAUUCGGAGUUUGACCAGCCGUAGGUUGCAUUGCCGUACGGGCACUUCUCAGGCUGGGAGAGCGUGAAGGAAAGCAUGUUAAGUGUCCAGACGCGUUCGCACAAUUCCUGGAAGAAGGCGGCUUGCUCGAUGUACCUGCAGCAGUUAGCAGUUAGCAGUAGCAGCAGGAGUAGCAGUGACAGGUGGCAGUAGCAAUAGCUGCAGCAAAGCAGGUACCGGAGCCGCAGAAGUUGAAGCAGUAGCAAUACCAGUAGGAAGCCCUAGCAGUAGCAACACCAGUAGUUAAGAGGUGGGCGCUGGAGGGAACCGUGCGGCAGAGAAGGGUUUUUAAUAUGGCACAGCUGGGUACGGUGCACAUUUUAAAAAUUGGGAUUUCCAUAUUCCGUACCCCAGUUUUUACAGAAAGGAUUUGCGUACGACAUUCAAAGGCAUUAGGUGCGGGAAAAAAAUGGCUGGAGUAUAGGAGUAAGGGUUUGGAUCUUAAGGUUUAAAAACCGUACAAACUGCGAGGGCAGGGUUAAAGAUAUUCAAAUUACGACGUUGGUCAGCUCGAUUAUGCAGCCGCCCAAGCCAGUGGGGGCAGUAGGGGCUUUCGUAAUGUUGAGGAGAGGCAGGAGGCAGGGGACCCCCAAAAAAUGGGGACGGCUUGCGAGUGGCAGUGGGUGGGGGUUGGGGGCGGGUGGGGCACGUACCUCUUGGCGAAGAAGCGCUGACCGACGUCCAUCUGGCGGUUCCAACACGCCUCCGCCGCCACGGGUGAGUGUGUGCUGCCGGCCCCAUCCCCGGCCCGGCCCUCCCAGGAGAAGUGACCCACCUGUCUCGGAGGUCCAGGGAGGGGAGGGAGGGGAGGGGAGGGAGGGGAGGGGAGGGGAGGGAGGGAGGGAGGGGAGGGAGGGGAUGAUGCACGAGCGCAAAGCUUGUCGCUGACAGAGUGAGCGCCGAGGGGAAAAAAAGGUAAAAGUCUGGUUGAGUUGCUGUACCUCAUAUCCGUUGCUGUUACCCUUCGGAUGUACCUCACCUUCCCCUCUUUUCCUCCAACCCUUGUCUCGCACGCACACACACGUGUGCCAAAACACACACACACACACACAAACACACAUUUCUGUUUCAACAUCUUCUUGAUAGAAAUUGAAGCUACGUCUACAGGUCUCUUUUACUCGGAAGAAGAGUCUAACACGUCGCUGGACUACAGAGCUCGCUCCAAUAAAGUUGCUCGUGCACCAUCAUCGGCAUUUCCCUUCCCCCAUCGCGGCUCCGAAACCAUCAGGACAUAAGCGCACAACACUCUUACCAGCCAGCCUGACAGCCACGCUCUCGCGCACAGCUCCCAGUCGCCGACGAUACCGCAAUCCCCCCGCCGCGACAACCCCUCAUCAAGCCCACCCAGCUCCCAAAAAGCCCGCGCCGAUACCGCCAUCGGCGCAAAGUCAACAAAAUGCGCGUAAGUCCAGGGAACACCGACCCGCGGGUCGAUGUCCCAGCCCGCUGGGCCCCAACGAUUCCCGCGCUCCUUUUGGCGGCACAACCGGUAGGCGUUCAUGCCAAGGAUGCCCAGGCGGGGGUAGGUCUCGAAGAUUCGAAUCAUCUGGGUAAUCCACGUGCCGUUGGUUGGGGGAAUUUGAUCAUCCUGUUCCGUUGGGUGGUUUCGGAGGAUGGUCAGGGUUACUGGUUUUGGGGGUUCAAUGUUGGGUUUUUCAAGUGCAGGAGAAGCAAAAACGUAGUCAUGGGUUACAAUGAGAGUUUGGAGUGGGGUGCAGUCAGGGAGGUGGCUGACGUGCGGGUUUUCUGUUGGUGUUUUUGCGUUUGUGUCAUUGGGGUCGUGGGUGCAUUUUGGUUCACCCUGGGCCACAACCCGCCGUGAGCCUCCCCUCCCAUACACACACGGCAAGACAUGUAAUCGCCCUCUCAUCGACAUCUUAACGUUUCCCGCUCACGUCCCUACCUCUCAAGGCAUGCAUGCACCCAUCCACUCAUCCACCCGCCCAUACACACACACGCUUCUCCCUCCUCCCCUACCCGUUCCCCCCCUUUCCCCUUCCCCACCUGCCACACGAUCAGGUACUUCCCCCGGGCCAGUCGAGCCGCCCGGUUGUAGCCCCGUGCCUCGUGCAGGUUGGCGGAGAACACGGGUAUGACAAAACCGGCCUGCCCCGCCCAGGCCGCUGCCUCAUGCGGGUUGUCAACGUUCACAACCAACUCGCACGGUACGGCAACCGAUUCACAUGAAGCGCGCAAAUUGGUUGCAAUUCUUGUUACUACUUGCGGUCGCUUGAAGUAGUUGAGGAGUACGGAUACGAUGGGACGAGCCGUGUAUAGGUCGGGAUAGAGGUGGGUGGAGAGGCACGUCAACGCCAGGGAUUCUGCGGCUUCCAAGCUGCACAGGGGUUGUGAGUGCGCGGGGAAUUUUUACACGGGGUACCCGUAGAUGUGGGUGUUUCUUUGACUUCGGAAUCGGUGUGCUUGUAUGAGGGAGACCUUGGUUGUGACGAUGCGCACCUGAGACCCGUACGCGCAGGGAUGGAAGCGAUUUUCAACAGGGUUCGGAGCUGCGAGGUCAGGUUGGCAGUCGAGAUCUCCAAAGUAUGUUCACUGGGGUUGGAGGUGAACGAUGGAUACGGCCGGCCCAAGCGCAUUUCGCCAAGAUGAGCCGCGGUGGACUGGAUUUCCUGAGCAAUAACCCGCGGACUCUGUUGCUCAGGAUCGCUAACUAUGUUAUGAAGCCCAAGGCAAGACCUGAUUGGGUUGGGAUCUGGUCCUGAGGACGCUGCUGUAAACCAAGUGAAAAUAAUGCAUGUCCACCAGGAGCAGCGCCUUCGCGCGUGCUUGCUAUGCGACAAAAGCAUCGCAAUUUCUCGUCUUCAGAGUUUGUGAAUUGUAUGUGUCUGUACAGCCUCCUAAGGCUACGUAUGCGGGAACACCAACCAUAGACCAAGCUUAACUGGAGGCGCACGUCCCUGUUUACACAUGAUAUGACUGGUUCGAAUAGUUCAUUUGGUACGCCGACCUCUUGCAUACAAAAGACGUGCGAGCCAAGCUGCAACUGCUGAGACGAACAGGCCCGUACGGCGCUUAAUAAUGACGACCAGAGAGCGGUAAUAUCGGUGUAACGCCAGCCAUCCUAGACGAGUAAGCUUGCUCUGGCUUCCUAUGAUUGCAAUUCGGCAAGCUCUAUAUCGAUGUAUGCAUCCUAUUCAAGUGCUUUAUGCACAACAGCCCGAUUUGCAUCUCAUCAUUUAUCGUGCCAGUGAAGUUCUGCAUAAAUUACUUCAUGGCACGUAAGCUCGAGGAUGCCUUUGUGCAGGCCGUGCCAGUUUUGAAUAAAAUUCCGCUAUAGAAACCUGCAGAAACCUGCAAUCGCAUGAAAGAGCAGGCAGGGCCAACUCCCAAGCAAGAACAGCAGCGGUAUGGCUAGUACAUCUCAAGUGCCUUAUCCCAUACCAUCCCACCGGGCCAAACACAUCGGACCAUUUGUAAGCGCUUGUUUCGGCUGAACACGCGAGAGGUUAAUCUCUGGAACGGGGUGGAACAAAUCGCCGCGUAGACGAUUAUCGGCUGCUACUGCUGCUACUGCGACUGCUGCUGGUGCCGCGGCGGCUUGGCAUUUACUGUAACAGACAGCACUGCAGCAGCAGGGCGUGCGACUCCGCGCAGCAUCAAGUGACACACACACAUACAUACACACAUUUACAUACACACACACAAACGCAACCCCCUCGUUAAGAACCGUUCAAGGGUCCAUCCAUCCCCCUUUGCGCGUAUAUCUACGCGCUAGGGGAGCGCUGCAGGGGCCCCGCACGUAGCGCGUAGGGGAAAGCCUGGGACCUGGCCUGCCGUACAGGUGUAAAACACCUAUGGUAGUGGAAAACAGUCAGAUGCUAGAAGGCUAAGGGGAUCUUCCCGGGGAGACCCCCGAAUUAGUCGUGAGCGCGAGAUUAUGGCUAGCUGCUGAGAUGUGGAGUUGGGCCAGAUUCGCACGCUGGAUUGGUGGCGAUUGCUGAACCCUCCGUCUCUUCGGAUGUUCGGGUGAAUGGAUGAGGAGGGGUCCCUGAAGGCUGGAUCCGCCGCCUUGGACUUACAGUUCGUAUGGCGAAGUACAGUGUGGUAGUGGUGGAUGGUGCUAUAAGGUGAUAAAUCGUAGAACUGACAAUGUGAUAAAGCGGCCCAGAAGCCUCCCACUCUGUAACAGACAAGAAGGCUAAGGGGGAUCUAGGGCGGCACGGCGGGACUCAAGGGUAGGCAAGGAGGAUUUCCGAAGAGGGCCCAGAGCCAACCGGGGCCAGGAAGGUCAGGUUACCCUCAGCUGGUUACCCGCAGGCUGAAGUUAUUGCCGGGUUACCGGUAUCGGCACGCAAGCCCCAGCGAGCCCCAGCGAACAAAACUACUGGGGCAAUCGCCUGGUGGGUCAUCGUCAGGCGCACCGCUCUACAAGGACUGCCGACGUACCCUUGCGUGCGUGAUGGAAAGCCAGGAUGUAAACAGCGUGAGCUGCGUUAAGACCAGCUAAGCGCCAGACCCCCCCGGUCGUAUUACUGAUGUCACCGUUCUCUCGUGGAUGAGUGUCGAUCACUUUCCAACAAGCUGCCCAGGAAAAGGUUCUACAGACCCGGAAAGAACCCUGGUGCCCAGAAAAACUACUUGGCCGAGCUGCGCCUGGACCAAGCGCCAAAACGGUCGGUUUAGGUCAGGUUUACCAGGCGCCUGCAUGCAAGUGGCCCUUCAAAAUUACCGUGUGAAUUCAGUUAACCAGUUUGUAAACGGCAAUUAGAUGUAUUUUUUUGGGAUGUACGGGAUUCCGAUCUGUUGCGGUGCGCGAGUAGGUUGUCUGGCUUCGGAGCGCUGCAUUUUGUAUUAUGUACUUCCUGACCUUACAUGUACUAACCAGGUUAAUUGCCUUGUGAUUUUAUUCAACGCCGGAUGUGCAGCCUUCAUCCAAGCGAAAGUCUCCUGUAAAGUCUUGUGUCCUGGCCACGCAACCAGGUCCUGACCAUAUAUAUUCUCGGAUUAGUAUUUCGAAUUUGCGACGAACUCCAUCUGUAAUUCGCCGACAGAAUUUCUCAUCAGAAUUAGCAGUGUUUAAUAGCCUUACUUGCGCCCAGGCCUGUAAUCAUGUCAGCACAACGACGUCUACAAAUUCUCAGCAAUCACCUGCUUGGACGCACUUCUGAGGAUCUCGUUUCGAGGCAGGCAACUGCCGCGAACAAUUCAGAUGUCUCUGCUUCAUAUGCUUCCGUCGACGGGAAACCCAACUCCUAUGGUCGAGUUCAUGGAGCCGUCAGCCGCGAGCCAACCAACUGGCGUCGGAUACCGAUUGUUUCACGGGAGGAGUUGACUGAUGUCAUCUAUGAGAAAGCCAUCGGCGAGGGCAUUGCCAAGGUACGUUGGCAGCACCAUGAGCCAAAAUUCCUCCUACAUUGGACGGAUGUAACGAUAAGAAAAGUUUGGAACGAAACUCAUCCUUGUUUACCCGUACGGCGAUCCCAUCGAACCGCAGAUCACCAUCAACCGGCCGGAGCGCAGGAAUGCCUUUCGCCCCCGGACAGGUACCGCGCCAUGCCAGAAUGUGUUUAGCAUCUGUAGCUUAGUGAUUUCCUGGACACACAUGCAAACAUCUGUUCAAAUUCUGAAGGCCUGGCGGCAAUCCUGUCGUACAUCCCUAGGCCUGCCCUGGACCUCUUUUCCCCGUUCGUCCACAUCUAACCCGGACCUCCGGCCAGCACGGCUGGGGUUUCAUGUAAAGGAAUCCCCUUACGCAACGGGUAGCAUUUGGACACUCCCCUUGCUGAGUCCGUUUUUCUCGUCCUCAAACUGUAUCCUGACAUCCUGUUCAGCACAAACCCACAUCAGCACAAACCCACAUCAGCACAAACCCACAUCAGCACAAACCCACAUCAGCACAAACCCACAUCAACACAAACCCACAUCAACACAAACCCAUGCCCCUGCAAAUCCCCCUCCUCCGCACGAUCAGUCCAGGAGAUGUCUUGGUGCUUCGGCGACGCCCGAGACGACCCUGAAGUGGGCGUCAUCAUCUUGACAGGUAUCGUACAAUCGCCAUACACAGCUGUAUAAUUUUACCGUAUAGUUGAUCGGCCCGCUGCUGCUGCACACUGGUGUCCAUGAGCUCUGACAACGGCCUCGUAGCCAUAAAACGCCGACGUCCUUGCUUGGAUCGUGUCUUGCAUUUGCUGGGAGCGUCUUUCUACGUCCCACAACCCUUCUUCUUCUUCUUCUUCUUCUUCUGGUGCUCUUUUGCCCCACCUGUCGACCGUCGACCGCCGUCCUCCGCCGACAGAUAACACGUCCGGACGACGCGUCCGUGUUUUCACCUAGGCCCCCUUCCUCCCCCAACUGCCGCAACCCGACCACCGGGGGCGCCCCCGGCCCCCGCUCCCGCACACCCGUGCAGGUGCCGGCGACCUUGCCUUUUGCAGUGGCGGCGAUCAGAGCGUUCGCGGCCAGGGCGGUUACGUCGGGGCGGAUGGAAUUGCGCGACUCAAUGUACUCGAUCUGCAGGUCAGCGGGGUGCAGUACGGGAAGGAGGAAGGAAGCUUCACAUACAAGAGGUGUAGUGUUAAGGGCCAAGGACAGACAGACAGACGUUGUAGCAUUUAGGUGUUUCGCAGUGCAAAUGGGAUUUCACGGUCCCUCCCAUUUCCCUUGUCCAUACAUGUUCCGUACGCGUACGAAUGCAGAUCCAGAUCCGGCGGCUGCCCAAGCCCGUGGUAGCCAUGGUGGCGGGGUACGCUGUGGGAGGAGGCCACAUCCUCCACAUGAUCUGCGACCUCACGGUACGGCAAUUUGCACGACCCGGUACGACAAUGUAGUACGUCCUAUAUUAAGUCGUCCACAUAACGGAUAUUCUCGGCCGCGCGUGAAUACAUUAUACUGGCCAGUAUGCUGUUACAACUUUCCACAGGCGCUCAGGAUCCCCCCAACUCCCAUCUCCCCUUCACACUUAAAUAAAAAGUAAAAUUUUAGUAUGUAAUAUCCUGCAUAUACAUACACACAUACACACCUUCCGCCCAACCCCGCCCCCGCAUUCUUAUACGCCCCCAUCCUCGGGCGUCGGGAUUUCCAUUUCCAAAGCCCUGAACCACCCAAAAUCCCCGCAUGGACCGCAGUGUCAACCCCACCUCUCCACACACACACACACGCGCACACACCCGGUCUUAAGUCCAUUCGACCUACCCCUCCCUUCCAUCGCCUGCCAACCUGAGACUCCAGAUAGCCGCAGAUAAUGCCGUAUUCGGUCAAACCGGCCCCAAGGUCGGCUCCUUUGACGCGGGAUACGGCUCCACGCACAUGGCUAGGCUGGUGGGGCAGAAGAAGGCGAGGGAGAUGUGGUUUUUGGCACGACUGUACGACGCACAUGAGGCCCACCGGAUGGGCCUUGUGAACACGGUGAGUUGGGGUGGUGGUUGCUGCUGAGGGAGGAGAUGAGUUGUUGGGGGGGGGGGAAGACGAACCACACACGAUUGAAGCUGCUGCCAGGGCAAGAGAGUAGCAAACGUAAAAACUGACCGAAACUGGCGGGGGGGGGGAAGAGAAGAGUGGAGGCACACCUGGGGGGUUUGGUUUUUUUCUAGGAGUGAGGGGUGUCGGGUUUGGGACCGGUGAUUUCCGUACUCCGUACUGCAACAUCCUGGACAACCAUCACCACUAUCACCAUCGCUAUCAUAUCAUCACCACCAUCAUCACCAUCAUCACCAUCAUUACCAUCAUUACCAUUACCAUUACCAUCAUUACCAUUACCAUUACCAUCAUUAUCGUCGUCAUCAACACUGCAAUUAUCACCAUCAGCAUCACCAUCAGCAUCACCACCACCAUCACCACCACCAUCACCACCACCAUCACCACCACCAUCACCACCACCAUCAGCAUCAUCAGCAUCAUCAGCAUCACCAUCACCAUCAGCAGCAGCAGCAGCAACAGCAUCAACACUGUAAUCAUCAGCAGCAGCAUCGCCCACCAUCAUCAAGAUCUCCAAAACAAAACUUGAAAGCGCACACACAUACAUACACACACGCACGUGCGACCUGCAGGUGGUUCCCCUGGACAAGCUGGAGGAGGAGACCUUGGUUUGGUGAGUGUGUGUGUGUGUGGGGGGGGGAAAUAGGGGUGGGUAUUGGUGUGUGGGGGGGAGAAGGGAAGGGCCGGACGUUUUCAUGCGAAAAUUCAAGGAAGCAACUGCCUGUGCGUCGAUGGGAUAGGGAGCCAGGUUUUCAGGGCCCGUCAUGUCAAGGAGAAAGGAAACCUGGGUUGAAUUAGGCAGCCUAGUCAGGAAGGGACAACAACAGCUGCCCUGAGGACCAAAGCGGUUUCAAACUGCUGCUGUAUGGUGGUGGAGUCAUUAACGUGAUGAUGACGCGACUGCGGAGGAGGGGUCCUAGCACACGGCGCGAAGCAAAGUCAAGAGGAGGUUCUGGGCGGUCAAGAUCUGCUGUCUGCGUGUAUGAUGUGUGAAACAGGGGGGUGUAUCUUCGCCCGUGGCAGCUACCCUGCGAAACCCUGCCUUCCCCGGAAUUUUGGGGCACCCUCAUCCAGUCACCCUAGUCAACUUCUCAGUGGAUUGCUCAGGUUCCGCACCCACCACUUGAAUCCAACGGAAUCUGCCGGGUCGACAGCGGCCCAACUCCAUUCCUGGUCGGCUAGUAAGUUAACUUUAUCCCAGGUCACCUCCGUCCAUCAACUAGGGGCGCAAUGCCUUCCACCAUCGGAAGGAAUUUCGACCCUAACGGGUAUCGAUCCCGGGAUCUCCCGGGGGCAAUGGUCGCGCCUUACCAGUGGUGCCAAACCCUUGCAUGUAUGCAUAUAUGCAUGUAUGUAUGUAUGUAUCUGUGUAUGUAUGUAUGUAGCUAGACUUAAUUGCACGGCCCGCGUCCUUUCCCCGGCCAUUCCAUUUGUCCAAACUGUUCGGAUCACCACCACCUACGUCCCCACUUCCUCCCCAAACUCCCUUCAUGCAUACACAUACACAUACCCACGCACAUCAGGUGUCGUGAGAUGCUCCGAAACAGCCCCACGGCCCUCCGACUUCUCAAAUCCGCACUCAACGCCGCGGAGGAUGGCCAGGCGGGAAUUCAGGAGCUGGGGGGUAAUGCCACACUGCUGUUUUAUCAGAGCGAGGAAGGAAACGAGGUGAGUUUGCCGUACUGUAUGGCGUUCCUUCUUUCAUGGCGCCGCGACGCACACCUGGCACACGGUCGGCUAGGUUUCAUUUGAGAAUUUAUAAAUUUGCAAUGUAUGUAUGUACUCUUAACUAGGUCCGACCUUUGUUCGAGGAUUUGCUUAUUUCGCAUUUUCCGCACCCACACGGUCCGCUUUGCAGGGUCGCCAAGCCUACCUCGAAAAGCGCGCGCCCAACUUUUCCAAAUUCAAACGGCUUCCUUGAGGAGGAGGAGGUGUGUGUGUGUGUGUGUGUGUGUUUGGGAAAACAGCUUCCAGCUGAUCGAAUGAACUGGAUGUGCGACCUCUGGCGACGUGGGGUUACUCUGAGGUGGUCUAGGGAGAGGAGACGGAAGAGGAGGAGGAGGGAGUCGCAGUAUGAUAUGGUGUAGAGCGUAAUAUGCUGGUUGCCAGACUAGGAGGAGGAGGGCGUGCCGCAUACAGUACUGGACACGCGAGAAAGCCAGGUGUCGUUGCUUUAGCAGACGGACUUGGGGUGCCAAGGAAUGUGCACUUCGCCUCGGCGUCAAGAAACAUUUUAUUCUUUGUUGCGUGAAGCAGGGAGCUUGUGCCUGAGUUUCUUGUUUAGCGUUUCUGUCUUGGUAGGAAACAUGUGAUUGGGUAAUUAAGUAUGUAUCAUUGGUGCGGUGCGUAAAUGUGUAUGCAUGCUGAUUUGACCAGUCAAGGCCGAGUGUCUUGGGGUUUUGUAGACUUAGCAAAGCACCGGACCCCUCGCGGGUCCUAUUACUGCUGUCACCAUUCUCUGGUAUACGAGUGUCGGUCACUUUCCAACAUUGAUAGUGCACCGCGCGCAUGAGGUGAUAUUGAAAAGAUGUGAAUACCGUAAGGUCUUUGCUUAUGAGGGCAGGGGCAACCUGGUAGUUAUGCGUUGCAUCCCUUACAAUUUCAAGAAGUUUAUGACAUGCAAUUGCGAAGUCAUAGCAUGGGACCAAAAGUUUGAGUAGGGCUUCUCAAAGCUAGUGCGGAGAGACAAAGUUAAGAGUCUGCACUAGGUGCACGAACGAAUUAAGCAGCGAUAAUAGCCCUGUCAGCAAUCUAUGAAGCUGUACGAUGAAAUAUGGCACUCUUACAAGUUCCCCUGACCUCAUUUCAGGUAGGGCGGGACAGAACGACGGUUACCCAGCAACCACCAAGUACGGUAACAACAAAAGAGUAGCUCUGAGUAAGUGGUUGCUUAAAGCAAGUUUCGUCCAGUUUAACCUCCCCAGCGGUAAAUGCAUGUGCUUGCGUUGCGUAAGGGCGACAAGUUAAGUGACUGAAUCUCAUCCCUGGCACUCGAUUUACGACUUGCGUUGCCUGCAUGAUGUAACAUCAAACCUGCUUAUAACUUCCAAUUAUGAAUUACGGUUGUGGUCAUUAGCUUUGUAGCUGCGGGUGCAGCCAUGCGCCGAUUGCGGGGUUGACUGUAAAGCUGCGAGGGAAUACAUGGGAUGUGGAGCUUCCUUCCUGGCAGGGGGUCGAUCGCACGUGGAUGGACGGGAGUACAGCACAUCAAUUGCAAACCUUGGGGUUGCGCUGAGCUUGUCUUCGAAGGUAAGGUCGAAGACGGACUGGUCCUACCUUGGUAUUUGGUGAAGUGAGUACAUAAUAUAGUCAACAUGAUAUGCAGACCGCUUCCGUUGGAGAGCUGAAGGUGUUUCAUCGAGAAUUCAAGGACAUAAAGAAUUUUUACUCGUUCGGGAAACUUAUCGGUGAGCCCGGAAACAGGAAGCAUGGUGAUGCGGAGUUGCUCCUCCUUUCCCCUAAAACGACUGAUUUCAGCAUUCAAAACGCAGCCCCAACCAAACCCAGAACGGCAGUCGCGGUGGCGUCUCCCGUUACGCAUGCCAAGAUGUCGCGCACGCUGCUCCCAUAUCCCUGAUAGAAACAUAUGACGCAUUCCACAAAGUAAGCAUCAUGAAGCAGCACAUACGCUGAGCUAAGCAGAGCCCGAGCCCGCCAGCCCGCCGUCCUGCCCGACUUAAAAAAAAGUGCGUGGACUGACAGAAGCUGCCCUUCCCUGUUGUCCCCUUUCGCUUGCGGGUGUGCCUUACCAGCUUCCGCUCAGCCCCACCCCCCUGGUCCCUCUUCCCCCUCCUCCCCCCACCCGGUACCGUCGGCCUCUUCUCCGUACACUGCGCGCUGCUAGCUGUACAGCACCCCGCUCAACCCAACCCCCCACGGCUCAGUCUGCCCCCUGGCACCCGCCGCCGCCCUGACCUACCCAUCCAGCUAUCCAUUCAUCUAUCAGGAUGCCCUCCCUCAAUCUCUAGCACGCACUCCCGCAUGAAAAAACCCAAAUCGAUUACCAUUCCCCUACCUCUCAAAACCCUCAAAUCCCUUUUUUUCUUGCAUUUUAUCCCCCCCCCCCAAAUCCCGUCGGCAGUUAUUCCAUUGACCCUGUAUAUAAAAAAGAUGUAGUCCCCCCCUCCCCUCCCCCUCCCCGCCUACUGGUCAGUUCUGCUCCUUGGCAGCAGCUUCACUCGUUCGUGGUUCGUCUUUCCCCCCCUCCCCUCCCCCCGCCCUUGGCUUUCUCGGCUGCAGCAGUUGGUCCUUGGCUUCUUGCAUAUCAACCCCCUCCUUUACCCCCUCCUUUACCCCCUCCUUUACCCCCUCCUUUUCCCCCUCCUUUACCCCCUCCUUUACCCCCUCCUUUACCCCCUGGCCCCCUCCCCAUCCUCGGACCAGGCAAGGGCCAGUUCGGCUCAGUUCGUGUGGUAACAGACAAGUCCUCUGGCGCUAAGCUGGCCUGCAAGUCUAUAUCCAAGCGGCGGCUGCACUGUCAGGGGGCGGGGCCAGAGGACGUGCUGCGGGAGGUGCAGAUCAUGUACCACGUGGCGGGACAUCCGAAUAUUGUGACGAUAAAGGGUGGGCGGGGUGUGGGAAGGGAAGACGAACCACGAGCGGGUGAAGGUGAUGCCAAGGAAAGAGUGGAGUGUGGGGGGAAAGGGCGGGCAGGGGGUGAGUUGAGGGGUACGACGAACCACUGACGAUACAAGCAGGUACUAAGGAUGGACGGAUGGAUACUCCAGCAUUAGACAGAUACUGCAUCAGGAAUAAAAAAAUAGUUGAGUUGGGGGUUAGGGUGGGCGGGAGGGAGCAACUCCUCGUGGAGGUUGCGGUUGGAGUUGGGGAUUAGGGUGGGUGGGAGGGUGAGGUCGCGAGUGGGAGUUGCUGGAAAUGCGGGCGCUCAUAAGGGGGGGGGUCUGGGACGUCUCUGGAUGAUUUUGGUAAUGGGGGGUAGGUGAAAAAACACCCAGAUCUCGUACCUAGGCAUUUGAAUGUUUAAAAAUAUUUGAAUCCAGAGCCCACUCAUCUCUUCCUCCUUCCCCCCAAAGCCCCACCCACGGGUCCUCCCCCGUAACCCCCCUCUCCCCCGUAACCCGGCCCCCAGAUGUGUAUGAGGACAGCUGUUACGUGCACCUGGUUCAGGAGCUGUGUACGGGGGGUGAGCUGUUCGACUCGAUCAUUGCGGUAAGAGAAUAACGUAGCCGCGGGAGCAAGGGGAGAUGGGACGUGUGUGCUGCUUGCGGGGGAAAUGGGGAAUAGGGCGGGAAGUACGAUGGGGGUUGGGUAUGGGUGCGGGGGAGCUGGUAAUGCGGUUGGGGGCCAGAAGGAAGGCGGUUAAAACGACGAAAGACGGCCAGUUUGCACGGAGAGAGCGAGGGAGGGCGGGACGGCGGGAAGGAGGGACGACGGGGCGAACUUGAGGGACGGAGGGGGUGAAGAAGGGAAGGAAAGCCUGUCACCCCCCUAGGGUUUGGGUUGUAUCCACAACCCCACCCAGCCCCAACCCCUGAUUGCUCUCCGUCCUUACCGCCUCCCCUUUCCUCUCCUUUCCUACACCCCCCUCCCUCCGCUGAUAGACACGGAUUUGUCCUACUGGAACCUUCUGAACCUCCCCACAGUUGAUUUUCCUGAUUUCGCAUCUGAAUCCCUUUCCUUAUACAUACAUACAUGCCACCCUCUCAUUUCCCCCCCUCCCCCACACGCCCAUACCCACCCACCACACACUCACUCAUACACAUACACAUACACAUACACACAUACACACACGCUGUUUCCCCCCUUGCACAGCGCGGCCACUACUCGGAGCGAGACGCCGCCGCGGCCUUCCGCAGCAUCGCCUCGGUGGUGGCGCACUGCCACAACAUGGGGGUCAUGCACCGGGACAUAAAGGUACUGUGUGUGUGUGUGUGUGUGUGUGUGUGUGUGUGUGUGUGUGCGGGGGGGGGGAAAGAGUGCGAGGGGAGGACGUAGCAAAGGAAAUUCAUAAGUGAAUAUGUACUUAUGUAUGUAUGUAUGUAUGUAUGUAUGUAUGUAUGUAUGUAUGUAUGUAUGUAUGUAUGUAUGCAUGCAUAUAUGUAUAAGUGUUGUGGUGUGGUGCUCAGCCAUGCCCUAAGCCUGCAGCACCCAGUGCUGUCCAAUCCAGUCCAACCUGGCACACUGCAUUCCGCUGCCGGCGCUUCUCGAACGCCCCACCACCACCACAUUCCGCACAUCUUCCCUAAACCCCCUUCCGGACACUUGCCCCCUCCCUUUUCCCUUGUCCUCUUUUCCCCCCCCUCACCCUUCCCUGAAACCCCUUCUAUAUACACACACACACACACACGCACAUCGCAGCCGGAGAAUUUCCUGCUCAGCAAUCGGUCUGCUGACGCCACCAUCAAAGCAACGGUAAGAAAGGAGGGGAGAAGACUGUGGAGGCGAGGGGUAGAGGAAUGGGGUUUUCGAGUGCUUAUUGGGGGAACGGGGAGGGAACGGGGAAAAAGAAGGGGCAUGUGAAAGAGGUGGUGGCGGGUGUGGGUUUGGGGGGAAAAUUGGGUUUUGCCCGUACGGCCACCAAUGCUGCUGUUCAGGUCACUACCGUAAAACUCUCCCCCCAUCUCCCUAUCCCUCCCUUCCCCCACAUACACACAUACCCAACCUCUGCUGCUGCCCCAACUCUCUCUCACUAGGCCCAUUGCUGCUGCCCCUUCCCGUACCUCUCCCCUCCGAAACCCAAACCCCCCUCGACCGGCUCCAUUCCGCCGAAACCUGGGGAUUUGUUUCUUUGGGUUUUGCAUGUUUGUGAUUUCACAAUUUCCCCCUCCCCCCCUUCCCCCCUUUCCCCCCUCGGCAGUUGUUUUCCUUGACAUUGCAUAUGAUCCUCCCUUCCCCUUCGGAUACCCGUCCAAUUCCAAUUCCCCGUCCUUGCCGCCCUCCGACCGUUUCCUAAACAGGACUUCGGGAUCAGUGUGUUUUUCUCCGAGGGACAGGUGUUCAGGGAUGUGGUAGGAUCCGCCUUCUACGUGGCACCAGAGGUGCUCCGAAAACGGUACGACAAACGUGCUGACGUGUGGAGUCUGGGUGUACUGCUGUACAUCAUGCUGUGCGGCUUACCGCCCUUCUUCGCGGAGACGGUACGCGCGGAGGGGGGGAGGGGGAAGGGAGUUGGGACGGUGGAGAGGAUGGGGGAUUAGGGGUGGGCAAGUGUAUGCAAAUGCCGUACAUACUGUUGCCGGCGGCCAAAGGCCCAAUGGAGUGGUAGCUUAGCGACGACAUGACGUCCUGUGCACCAAACCGCUUACAGUCCCAAGUCAUCAUGCCGUAAUGACCGUACCGGAGUAUCGGANNNNNNNNNNNNNNNNNNNNNNNNNNNNNNNNNNNNNNNNNNNNNNNNNNNNNNNNNNNNNNNNNNNNNNNNNNNNNNNNNNNNNNNNNNNNNNNNNNNNNNNNNNNNNNNNNNNNNNNNNNNNNNNNNNNNNNNNNNNNNNNNNNNNNNNNNNNNNNNNNNNNNNNNNNNNNNNNNNNNNNNNNGGGGUAGUGGGGGCCGAGGGGGUGGAAUGGGGUGAGGGGGGGUGGGUAAGGACCCCCCCCCGGACUACAUCGAUGGUCCAGUUUUCAAGACGUUUUUCUCCUCCCCCCUCCCUCCUCCCCUCUUCCCCUCCUCCCUCCUGCUUCCGUCAUCGGCACAUUCCCUCCAUCUAAUGGGGUGCCCCAACCUCCCCCUGUCACCCCCAAUACACACGUACACGUACACACAUGCGUAUGUACAUACAUACAUACAACAUACAUACAUGCGAAGGAGCGGGAGAUUUUUUCCGCCAUUCUCAGCCGGGAAGUGCUCUUCGAAGGGGAGCCCUGGAGCCAUGUGUCGGAGGGCGCCAAGGACGUCAUUCGGAAAAUGCUGGUGCGUGUGUAUGUAUGUGUGUAUGUGUGUGUAUGUAUGUGUGUGUAUGUAUGUGUGUAUGUGUGUGUGUAUGUAUGUGUAUGUAUGUGUGUAUGUGUGUGUAUGUAUGUGUGUAUGUAUGUGUGUGCGUGUGUGUGUAUGUAUGUGUGUGCGUGUGUGUGUGUAUGUAUGUGUGUGCGUGUGUGUGUAUGUAUAUGUGUAUGUGCGUUGUUUUUGUUUUCUAUCGCUUUCACCCUUACCCCCCACCAUCACCCCAGCCACCAACCUCAGUCCGCGAACAUCUUUCCUAACCCGGUCAAGUCCUUCCCCACCCCCCAUGCCCCGGCCCUAGCCGCCAAUAUACGUAACAUACGUACAUACACACGUACAUACAUACAUGUGCACACGAACGCAGGAGCGCAACCCCGCCCUCCGGGCCACCGCCUCGGAGGUUCUGGAGCACGAAUGGGUACGAGAGGACGGUACGGCAGAUGCGUCCCCCAUAGACAACGAGGUGCUGCGGAGGCUGCAAAACUUUGGAGCACUGAACAAGCUGCAACAGGAGGCGUUGAAGGUGGGUGCGGUGUGUAUAUGUGUGAUUCUGUGUAUCAAAUGACAAUAAUUAGUUUUUUCCUUCAACCGUCCCAACCACCUCAAAAACCCUCAUCCACGCAACCCCUCCCCUCCACUUCAACUCCCCUGGGCCCACCGCAGGUCAUCGCCACCAACCUGCCUGAGCCCGAGGUGAUGGGCUUGAGGGCCUUAUUUCGGGAAAUGGAUUCGGAUGGCUCGGGGAACAUUACCGUACAGGAGUUACGACAGGUGCGUGGGGUGUUUGGCAAUGGGGGGGAGGGGGAACUACCAAAAGGUAUUCCAGAGGGAGGGGGUGGUGGGGACGAGCCGUAUGAACGCGUAUGUAUGUUGUUACAGAGUGGUUAACUUCGCCAGCGGCCCCCUUUCCCGGGGCAGUCCCUGCUCUCCCCUGCUAGAGGGGCACCCUAAUCCGUCACCCCAUCCGACUUCAGAAUGUAUUCGUUGGGUUCGGCAACUCACCACCAGCAUCCAACCAAAUCUAGCGGAUCAACGGCGCAUCAACUUAGUUCCUGGUCAGCUCGCAAGUUGAUUUUAUCACGUCCUACAUCGUCCAUAUGAUGGGGGGCCACCUCCUAUUUCAACACUCCUCAAACACCCGAGGAGCCGGCAGGCGGAUUUGAACCCGGAUCGGCCGGGAGCAGAAGUCAGGCCUUAACCUCUGCCAGC
rnacentral:lncRNA from 1 species